AUAAUUCCGUAACUCCUCGUGCCUCUGCUCUCACUUUUUCCCUUUCCCUUUCCCUUUCCCUUUCCCUUUCUUUCUUCCCGUCUUCCUCACGGCAUCCCCUCUCCUUCGCACUCCUUCCCAUCUUCCCUCAAGCCAUCACAACCACAGGACGUAACUAGCAUCACACGCCAGACAUCCCAGGGCCACGCGUGACCAGCCUGUCCCUGACCUCGACGCACAGCAGCCACGCGAAGAAGGAUCCGUACAAUCGGUUCUUCCUCUUCUUUUUCCCCUCAAAUAAUUAAUUUUUCAAGGCUUGAAGUUUUUGAAGGGUUGAAGGAAAAUGACAAGACGCAUUUAUCGUACAAUUUAUGUUGGUAACCUUCCUGGUGAUAUUCGCGAGAGAGAAGUGGAGGAUAUCUUUUACAAGUAUGGCCCAAUUGUUGAAAUCGAUUUGAAGAUUCCCCCAAGGCCUCCAGGUUAUGCAUUUGUUGAGUUUGAAGAUGAACGAGAUGCUGAAGAUGCUGUGUAUGGUCGCAAUGGGUAUGACUUUGAUGGGCAUCGUUUGCGGGUGGAAUUUGCUCAUGGUGGCCGAGGACAUCCAUCAUCAGACCGCCAUAGCAGUUACAGUAGCAGUAGUCGAGGUGGUGCACCCAAGCAUACUGAUUAUAGAGUUAUGGUCACUGGACUUCCCUCAUCUGCUUCUUGGCAAGACCUGAAGGAUCACAUGCGAAGAGCUGGUGAGGUUUGUUUCUCAGAUGUGUACAAGGAUCGACGAUAUGGUGGUAUGGUUGGAGUUGUUGAUUAUGCAAAUUAUGAUGACAUGAAACGUGCUGUCAGGAAGUUGGAUGAUUCUGAAUUCCGUAAUGCAUUUUCUCGUGCUUAUAUUCGUGUGAAGGAAUACUCAAGGAGUCUAAGCCCAGACGAUAGGUCCAGACGCAGAAGCUAUAGUCGUGGUCGUAGUUAUAGUCGAAGUCGCAGUUACAGCAUAUCUCCCAGAAGAAAUUCACGCCGUUCUUAUUCUAGAUCUCCUUCGAGAUCCCGAUCUCGAUCUCUCUCUAGAUCCAGCUCUUUGCGGCAGUCUGGGGAUUGGACGUAGGGGCUUGGAUCUCUUGGCACGUUGGACUAUAUGCUCAUUUCCGGCCAAGGUGGACCAAUUUAAGUACAAAUGAAAUGACUUGAGUAAAUUAUUUGGAUAUUUGGGGCGUAUGCCUGGUUAGAUCUUAAAGGUAUAAUGUUUGGUGGAGGUUCAUGGGUUUGAGCUGGCAGAAUCGGUGAUUCAAUAAGAAGGAUAUGGAUUUUCAGUUAUUAAGUGAUAUAGUGUUAUGGAACACUCACUUGGUAGGACUUACGGUAAAGGAUGUUGGUAGAUACAAUGUUCUAUGCAUUUUGAGUGCGAACCUUAGCUAUGGGCCUCGUUGGUACUCAUUGGUGAAACGUGCAAUUCCACACCAAGCUGACUUGAUGAUCUCCAGCUCGUCGCAGCUUGAGCAGGAGCGCCAGUCAAUCUCGUUCACCAGCUGCAAGAUCUGACAGGAGCCUUUCUGUUUACUCUGAUGAGCGUAGUUGAAUAUUUGAGAUUGGUGUUUGGUUUGUUUCAUGAGUCCUCUGUUUCUUCGAGAUUGCUACUCAGAGCGACAUUUGAACUUAAAGGGACAUAGUAUAUGAUAGAUUGGUCAGACUAAUAUGAUAAUAAUAACGUGCACUCUUGAUUUUAGUAUUACUGUGACUCUGUAAGGUUAGAUUAGGCAUUUCCCCUUUAGUGUUUGUUCAAGAUAAAUUUCCUGUUUUGGUCAUGCUGAAGGCUGUGUGUUUUCAAUAAGGGUUGAUAAUACAUGUUACUUUUAUUACUUUUUUUGAUUUUAUAAAUUUGACACUUUAUUUUGGGUUGUUUCUUAAACUCUACAACUAAUUCUUUUUUGGUUGUGGUAUUUCUCUCUUUUGAUUUAAUUUUCACGAAUCGCGUAUAUUUUUUCUGUUUGAAAUUAGUUUUCAUAUCUUUUGCUUUCUUGGUAUCUAGUGAAUUAUGGAUUUUAAUAUCUUUAUAUACAUAUAAAUUAAAAUAGUUGAUGUCUGACAUCAUGAAAUCCAUAAUUAAGUAUGUUUGGCUAAAGUGCGUGUAAGUGAGACCAAAGUGCACUGGAUAGUCACCAUUGAUUUGAUGGCGAUGAGGUGUAACAAUCGUUAUCAGAGACAUCCUGUAGUUGUGGCUGAAACUAAGGUGCAACGUCUAGUUGCAUUUUUAAGUGGGUGAGUGAUAUCUGGAAUUGAAAUUAAAAAAGAAUUGAUAGACUAUCCAUCUCAAUAAGAUGCAUUGUAACAACUCCAUAGUUAAACGUGCUUGUGGGGAGCGAUCUUAAGAUGAGUUACCUUUUGAAAAGUUUUUUCGGUUGUGCACGAUUGGGGUCAGUGCUGGAGCUAGUCUAUAGCUUCCAUUGAUAGUCACCAUUGAUUACAUGUGUGUGUGGUGUGAGUGUGUGCGUGAGAGGGUGCACGUGUGUGCGUGCGCAUGUGCAUUUGAAGAGGAUCACGAAAAAUCACUUAAAAUGGUGAAAAUUGAA